CUACGGGUGGCUCCAGUGAGGAAUAUUGCACAAUGGGGGGAACCCUGAUGCAGUAACGCCGCGUGGAGGAUGACGCAUUUCGGUGCGUAAACUCCUUUUAUAUGUCAAGAAAAUGACGGUAGCAUAUGAAUAAGCACCGGCUAACUCCGUGCCAGCAGCCGCGGUAAUACGGAGGGUGCAAGCGUUACUCGGAAUCACUGGGCGUAAAGGACGCGUAGGCGGGUUGGAAAGUCAGGUGUGAAAUCCUACAGCUUAACUGUAGAACUGCACUUGAAACUUCUAAUCUAGAGUAUGGGAGGGGGAGAUGGAAUUAGUGGUGUAGGGGUAAAAUCCGUAGAUAUCACUAGGAAUACCUAAAGCGAAGGCGAUCUCCUGGAACAUUACUGACGCUAAGGCGUGAAAGCGUGGGGAGCAAACAGGAUUAGAUACCCCGGUAGUC
rnacentral:rRNA from 1 species